GUACAUACUUGCAUUAAAAUAAAAUAAAAACAUCCAAUUGGAUCGAACAUUUUAACGUAACACGAACAAAGAAUUUAUCAGGCAAAUUGUCAUCCGUGUUCGAAUUACUGAGGCAAGCGGCGUCGGGCACAUUCCGCGCGCUUCUGGCGAUUCAGAUCCGCUUCGACAUUAAGUCUUAAACUCAUGUUUCAGUUAAUAUUUAGCUUUAGAUAAUUUUCGGUUUUAGUUCCGCGUUCAUUAUUAUUAUUAUCGAGGCUCCGUAUUUAUUACAAUUUCUAUGGUUACGGAUAAAUAAGGUGCUAUCUGUGAGCAUCUAAUCAUAUUGAAUAUGUAUGUAAAAAUGAAAACCUGGCAUACAACAAUAAAAUUAGUUUUAAAUUACUGUUUAAGAUCCGCAUUAAAAAAAAUGGCGCGAAAGUUUUAGAUAAAAAAAUUGGCUUAAGGAGGAUCUUAGAAGGAGAAAAAAAUCAAUUAAAACACGUAAAAACGUAUAAAAAAUGAAUUAGAUUCCACUUUUUGUGAUUGUUUAACGCUGCCUUCACCGAUGUUAUCAUUAAAAUCAAUAAAGAAAUAUUUUACAAACAA